AACGUUGGACAAUGGGCGCAAGCAUGAUCCAUGCAUGCCGUGCGAGUGAAUAACGCCUUCGCGCCGCAAAUCUUUUUCUGCCGGGAAGAAAUCUCGCAGGUUAAUACCCUGCGCGUUAGACGGUACCGUCAUAAGAUGCAGCGGCUAACUACGUUCCAGCGGCCGCGGUAAUACGUAGGGUGCGAGCGUUAAUCGGAAUUACUGGGCGUAAAGCGUGCGCAGGCGGUUGAUUAAGACAGGCGUGAAAUCCCCGGGCUUAACCUGGGAACUGCGCUUGUGACUGGUCAGCUAGAGUACGGCAGAGGGGGGUGGAAUUCCACGUGUAGCAGUGAAAUGCGUAGAGAUGUGGAGGAACACCGAUGGCGAAGGCAGCCCCCUGGGCCGAUACUGACGCUCAUGCACGAAAGCGUGGGUAGCAAACAGG
rnacentral:rRNA from 1 species